UACAGAGGUCUCAAGCGUUGUUCGGAUUCAUUGGGCGUAAAGGGUGCGUAGGCGGCGCGGUAAGUCGGGUGUGAAAUCUCGGAGCUUAACUCCGAAACUGCAUUCGAUACUGCCGUGCUUGAGGACUGGAGAGGAGACUGGAAUUUACGGUGUAGCGGUGAAAUGCGUAGAUAUCGUAAGGAAGACCAGUGGCGAAAGCGGCGCACUGGACCACACUGACGCUGAGGCGCGAAAGCUAGGGGAGCAAACAGG
rnacentral:rRNA from 1 species